rnacentral:tRNA from 1 species
GCCGACGUAGCUCAGUGGUAGAGCAACUGAUUCGUAAUCAGUAGGUCCACAGUUCAAAUCUGUGCGUCGGCACCA